rnacentral:rRNA from 2 species
GAGCUUGCUCUCUUUGUCGGCAAGCGGCAAACGGGUGAGUAAUAUCUGGGGAUCUACCCAAAAGAGGGGGAUAACUACUAGAAAUGGUAGCUAAUACCGCAUAAUGUUGAAAAACCAAAGUGGGGGACCUUUUGGCCUCAUGCUUUUGGAUGAACCCAGACGAGAUUAGCUUGUUGGUAGAGUAAUAGCCUACCAAGGCAACGAUCUCUAGCUGGUCUGAGAGGAUAACCAGCCACACUGGAACUGAGACACGGUCCAGACUCCUACGGGAGGCAGCAGUGGGGAAUAUUGCACAAUGGGCGAAAGCCUGAUGCAGCUAUGCCGCGUGUAUGAAGAAGGCCUUAGGGUUGUAAAGUACUUUCAGCGGGGAGGAAAAAAAUAAAACUAAUAAUUUUAUUUCGUGACGUUACCCGCAGAAGAAUCAC